GAUGAACGCUGGCGGCGUGCCUAAUACAUGCAAGUCGAGCGAACGGACGAGAAGCUUGCUUCUCUGAUGUUAGCGGCGGACGGGUGAGUAACACGUGGAUAACCUACCUAUAAGACUGGGAUAACUUCGGGAAACCGGAGCUAAUACCGGAUAAUAUUUUGAACCGCAUGGUUCAAAAGUGAAAGCCGGUCUUCCUGUCACUUAUAGAUGGAUCCGCGCUGCAUUAGCUAUUUGGUAAGGUAACGGCUUACCAAGGCAACUAUGCAUAGCCGACCUGAGAGGGUGAUCGGCCACACUGGAACUGAGACACGGUCCAGACUCCUACGGGAGGCAGCAGUAGGGAAUCUUCCGCGAUGGGCGAAAGCCUGACGGAGCAACGCCGCGUGAGUGAUGAAGGUCUUCGGAUCGUAAAACUCUGUUAUUAGGGAAGAACAUAUGUGUAAGUAACUGUGCACAUCUUGACGGUACCUAAUCAGAAAGCCACGGCUAACUACGUG
rnacentral:rRNA from 1 species